rnacentral:ncRNA from 1 species
CCAAAGGCUUGGUCCUGACUUUGCCAUCAACUAUAGCUAAACUUACACAUGCAAGUAUCCGCACCCCGGUGAGAAUGCCCUACAGUCUUCUGGAUGGAGACAAGGAGCUGGUAUCAGGCACAAUUCCUUUAGCCCACGACGCCUUGCUAAGCCACACCCCCAAGGGAAUUCAGCAGUGAUAAAUAUUAAGCCAUGAGUGAAAACUCGACUUAGUUAGUGUUGACAGGGCCGGUAAAUCUCGUGCCAGCCACCGCGGUUAUACGAGAGACCCAGGUUGAUGGUCUUCGGCGUAAAGAGUGGUUAAGAAACACCCAAAAACUAAAGCCAAACGACUUCAAAGCUGUUAUACGCGCAUGAAGACACUGAGGCCCAUCUACGAAAGUGGCUUUAAUUUUCUGAACCCACGAAAGCUAUGAUACAAACUGGGAUUAGAUACCCCACUAUGCCUAGCCCUAAACAUUGAUAAGCCCCCACUUAACUUAUCCGCCCGGGUACUACGAGCAAUAGCUUAAAACCCAAAGGACUUGGCGGUGCUUUAGACCCAACUAGAGGAGCCUGUCCUAGAACCGAUAACCCCCGUUCAACCUCACCUUUCCUUGUCAUAUCCGCCUAUAUACCGCCGUCGUCAGAUUACUCUGUGAGGAACUCGUAGUAUACAGAAUCGGUCACAGCCAAAAACGCCAGGUCGAGGUGUAGCGUAUGGAAAGGGCUAGAGAUGGGCUACAUUCAAUAUCCUAUAAUGAAUACGAAUGGUACAAUGAAAAAAGUACUUGAAGGAGGAUUUAGUAGUAAGCAGUGAAUAGAGUGCUCUGCUGAAACUGGCACUAAGGCGCGCACACACCGCCCGUCACUCUCCCCGAGCUAACAGAAAUGCAUUCCUAAUAAGCGAACGCCGCUAAGGGGAGGCAAGUCGUAACAUGGUAAGCGUACCGGAAGGUGCGCUUG